rnacentral:lncRNA from 1 species
GAUAUUUCCAUAGCUUUGUCAGAGUAACAUAUUAUAUAGAUAAAAAUUUAGAGGCAAAAGAUGUCUUAAAAGUUGUAGUCUUAGUAAGAAGACAGGAUAUAACAUACAUUAAGGCUAGGAAGGUAGAAAUUUUAGACAUAGCCAAGCCUUGACCGGUGUUCCACUGUUCUAUAAAGUCCUUGAGCAGACCAUGGGCUUAGAAUUCAGGAAGAAAGUUGACUAUUCAGUGACAUUCAGAAUUGCCUCUGGCAUUACACUAUCACUUUAAAUAAAAGCUAGGUCACUGUCUUACACAGGAAUUUACCAUGAACUAGGAAAAAGGAAGUUUAAGACCUAAAGAGGAACCAGAGUAGAUACUUAGAACUGUAGAUAACUGAGUUACACCCAUACACAAGUAUUUACAAUGGCCUAGGGGAAAGGUGAACUACCAAAACUGGUUUUCAACCUCCCCCUGGCUUUCGACCUUGUUGCCCUCCCUUUUGGGGCCCCUAUUGGAAUUCCUAUUAUUGAUCUUGUUCAGUCCUUGGGCAUUUCAGAAAUUGACCCGAUUUGUUAAAUCUCAAGUUGAUUCAUGUCUUUCAAGUGCAUUUGUUUCAGUUCAUUACCAUUGGCUGGACGUUGGUGAUAACAAGCAGGUUACUGGAGAAGAGGCAGACGCGGAUGCCGCUUCAUCACCCUCUUCUCGGGGAGAGAGACUCAAUUUCCAUAAAAUGCUUAAGUAAGACCAUUCCCCUCCCCCUAAAUUCGGCCAUCAGUCUCAUGCCACAAAUCAUUUAUAGAUUGCCAUAGUCUGUGCUUUUCCAACAUGGUAAUAUACGUUCUUGCCACAUUGGAAACUAAACAGUCAUCCCAGGCUAGACACAUCAAAAAAUUAAAACUUGAAGCCGUCGCCCGUGAGAGUUGUAAGACUAAGUACUGCACAGAGAUUAGUCUGGAAGCUGUUAGACAGUCUCUGAGAGGCAUGUCUGAUUGCAUAAAGGUUGAGUGCCCCAGGGACCUUUCCCCAGAAAAAAACGGCACAGGAGCAGGUCAGGGUUACUCUGGGUAAAAAUCUGUGGGCCUGAGAGUCAAUCCUGUACAUGGCCCCUAACAUUAAACACUGGGGAUCAGACCUCUACCUCUACCCACGGAGCUUGCUUCAUUCCUAAAUCCCUUGGCUAGCCCAAGUUAUAUCCAAAAGAUUGGAACCAUUAAUUCAAGCCUCAUAGAUGACUUGUCCUUGUGUCCUUCGUGGUUUUAGAGAAUCAUCCGGUGAGCAAACAGACGUUUAGGUGAUCUUUAAAAACGUGGCUACAAAUUUAUUAUACAAUAUGCCUUUAUAAAAAUAUUAAAACGGGGGAGAUGUUGGGAGCCAUUAAGGCAACGCUAUUGUCCUGUUCUCUGAAUUGGGCCUCUCCCCCCGAGAAGAAAAGAGGGUCAAAAGCGGGCCACCGACACAUGGAUUCUGAGAACCACGGGAGGUUCCAGCCCUAGGUCAUCACCGAUGUCCUGACCACACCCUGAUACCACCAAGUUCCUGCUUCCCCGUGUAGCUGUCAAAAGAAAGAAUUUCUAUUGCCCCCUUCCCAUAAGUACUUCUCCUUUUGCUUGUAUUGCCCUACCCCUCCCACUGAUAAGUAUCUGUACUUCCCCCUUUGCUUGUGCAUUUAAACCUUGGACCUUUCUCAAUACAUUGGGGUCUUGAUACAACUUCAAAAAAAAAAAAGAAUAACAUUCUAAUAUCAAAAUGGAUUGUGGAAAGAGUUGAAAAUCUGGAAUGAAAAUAAUUCUAGGAAACAGUACUAUAGACUUUUGCAAAGUCUCAGUAUAUCUCAAUUUCCAUACUUGUAAAUAAUUAAAAAGGCAGAGCAAAUGCAGAAUGUCUAACACAGAGAGCCAUCAUAGCUAUGAGGUGUGCUCAUGUGCACACAGAGAGCCUUGGUAGCAAUGAAGUGUGUUCAUGUACACACAGAGUGCUGAGGUAGUAAUGAGAUGUGCUUACAUACACACAGAGAGCUGUCAUAGCAAUGAAGUGUGCUAGUGUGCUCAUGUAUAUACUACAGUAUUUUGACACUUGUUUUUUUUUUUUUUCUGUGUAAGUUUCUAUGCUUACAGAGACCCAAUACAUAGUGGUAUUUGCCUAUUGAAUUUGUAAUUCUCAGAGCCUGUAAAUGUAUUCCCCUUCUGAAUGGAGUCCAUGUUGUGUUACAGUGUCACCAUUUCCCAAGAUCCUUAAAGUAAAUGGCAAUGUUUAAAGAAUC